UAGCUCAGUCGAUAGAGCAUGAGACUCUUAAUCUCAGCGUCGUGGGUUAAAGCCCCAC
rfam:Danio rerio chromosome 4, GRCz11 reference primary assembly.